AAACCAAUAAAGUUUUCUUUAUUGGGGUUGCGGACAUAUCAUAACGAAGAGGUAUCGUAAUUGAAGAGGUUUGGAAAGACCCACCACAGAAGGUAAUAGUCCUGUAUGUUAAAAGAGAAGACUUUAGAUAUGAUCCAGAGUACCACGGGACACGUGAAACCCUGUGGGAAGCAGGAGGGACCACCCUCCAAGGCUAAAUACUACCUAGUGACCGAUAGCGUAUAGUACCGUGAGGGAAAGG
rnacentral:rRNA from 1 species